UUGAUUUUAUAUAAUAGACCAACUCACAAUAGUCCAUUAUUUGGAAGUAAGCUCAGCCCUUUGCAUUUCUCUCUAGAACUGGUCUAGAACACCAAUCUUCACAUGAUAUUCUGAAUGUGAACCCGGCUUAAUGCAGCAAUUCUGUUGCUGAGAGCAGAGACAGGUGAAGAGAAAUCCUAUGGCUGGCAGAAGAGACAGGAUAGAGGCAAUCCUAUAGCUAGCAGCAGAGGCAGGAGAGCAGCAAUCCUAUGGUUGGCAGAAGAAUGGCAAUCCUAUGGCAGGGCAUAGCUGGGCAUCCUGAUGACUGUGCAUGCGAAGAAGAAGCAGUGAGGGAACACUUUUUUUGAAAUGUGAAGAAGAAGAAAAUAAAAUCACUGCUGUCAACAUGCAGACUGAUAAAAACAAACACUUCUCUGGCCUCUCCUUGAGGGGGUUAAUAGAUUUGCAUUGUGCUGUAUCUUGAAUGUUGGAAAAUAAUGCAAGUUGUCUAUUGACCUCAACACAGACGCCCAUCGUAUUGACUAUACAAGCACACGUUGCCUUGGGCGCACAUGCAGGCAGUGAAGUCAAUCAAGCCCCAUUACGGUCUUUGUGCACUGAUGUGAAUGUGGCUCUUGGUAAAUGAUUCUAAUGACGGGGCCAUGAAAAGCCUCAUUUCAAGCACAAAGAAAGAGUAAUAGGCCCGUGACCAAGGCGCACAAUCCAUCCUGGUGCUCUUGUUUUUGCAUAACUUUAGCGGGAAAUAAUUAGAUUUUCGUCAGGAAUGGGAUCGUGUUUUAGCACAUUUUUUUAUUUCGUUUCCCCUACAGGCCUGUGGCAGACACACAUUCACCUUGGUUUCCCUUUGUGUUAGUGUCGCCUGAGCUCACUUCAGCCUCCAGUGUUAAAUGUUGUUGAGAGUUUGCCGCUGGUAGCAGAAGAUGCAGCAGCUAGGAAGUGGUUAAUGUGGAUAAAUCAUAUGUAGUACUAUUAUUUUAUACACAUCCAUCUGUUUGACAAGAAGAGCAUUUUAUUAGAAAAUGUGCUUCUACGUCUUCCUGGGAUGCAGGACAGGGUGAGGAUGACAGAUUAUUUCUUGCACAAUGACUUCCUGUCAGACGCCCCUCCUGCGGGCGCCACCUGAGACCCUGUCUUGGUUCCCAGGCUGGAAGUUAAUUAAGCCCCUCUGUUUUCUGCCCGGGAUGGGAGUGGAAGGAUAAAUAACCAACAAUAACCAUUCCAAGUUCAUUUAAUGAGAAGUGCAAAUAAUAAUUGCAGUUCUGUAAUUGCAGCCAAUAGAUUAAUGAGGCCUGUCCUGGUUACACAGGAUAGACAGAGGAAUACUCAUUAAGGGAACGCGACAGGGUGCUGCUGGGAGCUAAAACAAAAGACCCAGGAAAAACACACAGACCUCAUCA